rnacentral:rRNA from 1 species
GAGUUUGAUUCUGGCUCAGGAUGAACGCUGGCGGCGUGCCUAAUACAUGCAAGUCGAGCGAGAAUUUCACAAGUGGAGACUUCGGUCAAAGCGAGUGAAAGGAAAGCGGCGGACGGGUGAGUAAUGCGUGGGUAACCUGCCCUUUAGAGAGGGAUAGCAGUUGGAAACGGCUAUUAAUACCUCAUAAGCGCACAGUUUCGCAUGAAACGGUGUGAAAAGAUUUAUCGCUAAAGGAUGGACCCAUGUCCGAUUAGUUAGUUGGUGAGGUAACGGCUCACCAAGACCGCGAUCGGUAGCCGACCUGAGAGGGUGAUCGGCCACAUUGGGACUGAGACACGGCCCAAACUCCUACGGGAGGCAGCAGUAGGGAAUAUUGCACAAUGGGGGAAACCCUGAUGCAGCAACGCCGCGUGAACGAUGAAGGAUUUCGAUC